rnacentral:rRNA from 1 species
UGUGAACUCGAAGAGUAGGGCGGGACACGUGGUAUCCUGUCUGAAUAUGGGGGGACCAUCCUCCAAGGCUAAAUACUCCUGACUGACCGAUAGUGAACCAGUACCGUGAGGGAAAGGCGAAAAGAACCCCGGCGAGGGGAGUGAAAAAGAACCUGAAACCGUGUACGUACAAGCAGUGGGAGCACCUUCGGGUGUGACUGCGUACCUUUUGUAUAAUGGGUCAGCGACUUAUAUUCUGUAGCAAGGUUAACCGUAUAGGGGAGCCGCAGGGAAACCGAGUCUUAACUGGGCGUUAAGUUGCAGGGUAUAGACCCGAAACCCGGUGAUCUAGCCAUGGGCAGGUUGAAGGUUGGGUAACACUAACUGGAGGACCGAACCGACUAAUGUUGAAAAAUUAGCGGAUGACUUGUGGCUGGGGGUGAAAGGCCAAUCAAACCGGGAGAUAGCUGGUUCUCCCCGAAAGCUAUUUAGGUAGCGCCUCGUGAAUUCAUCUUCGGGGGUAGAGCACUGUUUCGGCUAGGGGGUCAUCCCGACUUACCAACCCGAUGCAAACUACGAAUACCGAAGAAUGUUAUCACGGGAGACACACGGCGGGUGCUAACGUCCGUCGUGAAGAGGGAAACAACCCAGACCGCCAGCUAAGGUCCCAAAGUCAUGGUUAAGUGGGAAACGAUGUGGGAAGGCACAGACAGCCAGGAUGUUGGCUUAGAAGCAGCCAUCAUUUAAAGAAAGCGUAAUAGCUCACUGGUCGAGUCGGCCUGCGCGGAAGAUGUAACGGGGCUAAACCAUGCACCGAAGCUGCGGCAGCGACACUAUGUGUUGUUGGGUAGGGGAGCGUUCUGUAAGCCUGCGAAGGUGUGCUGUGAGGCAUGCUGGAGGUAUCAGAAGUGCGAAUGCUGACAUAAGUAACGAUAAAGCGGGUGAAAAGCCCGCUCGCCGGAAGACCAAGGGUUCCUGUCCAACGUUAAUCGGGGCAGGGUGAGUCGACCCCUAAGGCGAGGCCGAAAGGCGUAGUCGAUGGGAAACAGGUUAAUAUUCCUGUACUUGGUGUUACUGCGAAGGGGGGACGGAGAAGGCUAUGUUAGCCGGGCGACGGUUGUCCCGGUUUAAGCAUGUAGGCUGGUUAUCCAGGCAAAUCCGGAUAAUCAAGGCUGAGGUGUGAUGACGAGGCACUACGGUGCUGAAGUAACAAAUGCCCUGCUUCCAGGAAAAGCCUCUAAGCAUCAGGUAACAUUAAAUCGUACCCCAAACCGACACAGGUGGUCAGGUAGAGAAUACCAAGGCGCUUGAGAGAACUCGGGUGAAGGAACUAGGCAAAAUGGUGCCGUAACUUCGGGAGAAGGCACGCUGGUGUGUAGGUGAAGUCCCUGCGGAUGGAGCUGAGACCAGUCGAAGAUACCAGCUGGCUGCAACUGUUUAUUAAAAACACAGCACUGUGCAAACACGAAAGUGGACGUAUACGGUGUGACGCCUGCCCGGUGCCGGAAGGUUAAUUGAUGGGGUUAUCCGUAAGGAGAAGCUCUUGAUCGAAGCCCCGGUAAACGGCGGCCGUAACUAUAACGGUCCUAAGGUAGCGAAAUUCCUUGUCGGGUAAGUUCCGACCUGCACGAAUGGCGUAAUGAUGGCCAGGCUGUCUCCACCCGAGACUCAGUGAAAUUGAACUCGCUGUGAAGAUGCAGUGUACCCGCGGCAAGACGGAAAGACCCCGUGAACCUUUACUAUAGCUUGACACUGAACAUUGAGCCUUGAUGUGUAGGAUAGGUGGGAGGCUUUGAAGCGUGGACGCCAGUCUGCGUGGAGCCAACCUUGAAAUACCACCCUUUAAUGUUUGAUGUUCUAACGUUGGCCCCUUACCGGGGUUGCGGACAGUGUCUGGUGGGUAGUUUGACUGGGGCGGUCUCCUCCCAAAGCGUAACGGAGGAGCACGAAGGUUAGCUAAUCCUGGUCGGACAUCAGGAGGUUAGUGCAAUGGCAUAAGCUAGCUUGACUGCGAGCGUGACGGCGCGAGCAGGUGCGAAAGCAGGUCAUAGUGAUCCGGUGGUUCUGAAUGGAAGGGCCAUCGCUCAACGGAUAAAAGGUACUCCGGGGAUAACAGGCUGAUACCGCCCAAGAGUUCAUAUCGACGGCGGUGUUUGGCACCUCGAUGUCGGCUCAUCACAUCCUGGGGCUGAAGUAGGUCCCAAGGGUAUGGCUGUUCGCCAUUUAAAGUGGUACGCGAGCUGGGUUUAGAACGUCGUGAGACAGUUCGGUCCCUAUCUGCCGUGGGCGCUGGAGAAUUGAGGGGGGCUGCUCCUAGUACGAGAGGACCGGAGUGGACGCAUCACUGGUGUUCGGGUUGUCAUGCCAAUGGCACUGCCCGGUAGCUAAAUGCGGAAGAGAUAAGUGCUGAAAGCAUCUAAGCACGAAACUUGCCCCGAGAUGAGUUCUCCCUGAGACUUUAAGUCUCCUGAAGGAACGUU